AUCAUACUCCCUCUGAUCAGAAUUACUUGUCUUGGAAAUGGAUGUAUCUAGAACUAAAAUACGUCUAGAUACAUCCAUUUCUACGACAAGUAAUUCCGAACGGAGGAAGUACUUU
rfam:Triticum aestivum genome assembly, contig: Triticum_aestivum_CS42_TGACv1_scaffold_225396_3B